rnacentral:rRNA from 1 species
AGUGAACGCUGGCGGUAGGCCUAACACAUGCAAGUCGAACGGCAGCACAGUAAGAGCUUGCUCUUACGGGUGGCGAGUGGCGGACGGGUGAGGAAUACAUCGGAAUCUACUUUUUCGCGGGGGAUAACGUAGGGAAACUUACGCUAAUACCGCAUACGACCUACGGGUGAAAGCAGGGGAUCUUCGGACCUUGCGCGAUUGAAUGAGCCGAUGUCGGAUUAGCUAGUUGGCGGGGUAAAGGCCCACCAAGGCGACGAUCCGUAGCUGGUCUGAGAGGAUGAUCAGCCACACUGGAACUGAGACACGGUCCAGACUCCUACGGGAGGCAGCAGUGGGGAAUAUUGGACAAUGGGCGCAAUCCUGAUCCAGCCAUACCGCGUAGGUGAAGAAGGCCUUCGGGUUCUAAAGCCCUUUUGUUGGGAAAGAAAAGCAGCAGGUUAAUACCCCGCUGUUCUGACGGUACCCAAAGAAUAAGCACCGGCUAACUUCGUG